GGUGAGUUGGUUGAGUGGUUUAAAACACUUGUUUGCUAAACAAGCAUCCGUAAUGGGAUCGAAGGUUCGAAUCCUUCACUCACCG
rnacentral:tRNA from 1 species